rnacentral:sRNA from 1 species
AUCGAUUUGUGUUUAUAAAAAAAGAAUAGGGCUCCGUUUGUUUCUCCAUCCAGAUGGAUCAUCUAGAUGCAGAUGAAAAAUGAUGUUUGUUUUUGACAAAUUAAUAGAUCAUUUGGAUGUUCCAUCUGAAUGACUUUGUAAAUUUAAGCUAAUUUGUGAAACUCAUUUGGAUGGACUUGGUAGAACCAUUCGGAUGGAGAUGAUCUAGUCCAAAAAACAAAUGACAAAUAUACCUUCUUUUAAUAAUGUUAAUUUUCAAUAGAUUUCUUAUUUAAUAUUU